rnacentral:lncRNA from 1 species
GAGGGAGAACCAGAGAAAAGCAUAGCAAGCUGGAAGAUGCGGAGCCCAUGGGGUGCCGGUGGCAGAAGCGGCGAGGUCCAGAGAUAAGAAACAGGUAACUUGAUUCGUUCUUAUAGAAUUUUGAGCUGUUCUCUGUGCAGACUUGGUUGGUUUUGAUGCUUUCAGUUGGUCCUCGCCUACCAAUACGGUCGGUCAGAUCAAGCAGAUGAAAUGCAGCUAGAUAGCUAGAGAGGUCUGUGCUGUGCCCAUCGGAUGAUUCACUGCCUCAUCUUUAUAGUUCAACUCGCGUGUCAUUUAUUAUACGGUUAGCACGAAGAACGUGAGACAUUGUUCUACUGCUCUAUUAAUUAGGUUAGCAUUUUCCUACUGUGUACUGCAUGUUGAAACGCAAUCUUUCUGUUUGUCAGAAAGUUCUGAGUUUUUCUAUUUUAGUGCAGUUCAGAGUUUUGCAUUUUUCUUUGUUGUGUCACUUUCAUAAUAGUAAAUAUUUUAGUCAAGCAAUCCUUAACAAAUAUUCAGGGAAUUUGUAAGCUUACUUACUAGUUCUACAUUCCUAGAAUUUUAAGCUUACUUAUUAGUUCUGUUCUCUAGUUUGUCUAUGUUGCUAGCAGUCAGUUCGCCAUAACAGAUGUGAAGUGCUACUGCAAUACAUAUAGUAAUUUUGAUUGUGGCUGACCUUAUGUUAAAAACUACUGGAAAUGUCUUCUGCUAUGUAUGCUUUCAUGUCAAUAAUUACCUUUUCUCUUUUUUUCAGCUUGGUUUUUGAUCUGCCCUGUCUAUGAUUAGUGAUUUUUGAAGGUGUUCCUCUUGAAGCUGAGCUCUGUUAAAACAAAUUAUCUGUCUUCGAGAUGGAUUUAACUCAUUGGAGAUGCAACCAAUUAUCUUGUCACCAUGAUCCCCAUCAGCACUGUUUUUGGUGAGCACACCCUCGAUCUCUGGUAUACUUUUGCAUUAAUAGUGUCAUGAAAAUUGGUGAUUUGCUGAACUUGUUGUGAAAUUGACACUGCCAUACCCAUAUAUAUAUAUAUAUAUAUAUGUGAAACAAAUCAACAUUGUCCUGCUAACAAUAAUAAUGAGACUGGGUUUUGGACUGCUAACACUAAAUGUACAGAACUACUAUAUAUAUAUAUAGUGUCUACCUUUGCUGGAAUAUAUGUUAAAGCAAAUUAACACUAAAUGUACAGAACUACUCUAUAUAUGCAUGCAUGCUAAUUUUUCGUGUACCAGUAGCAGAACAAUGUUAAUUUGUUUCACUUUUGUGGGUGGUUGGGGCCAUUUAGGUGCGAUGAGCAGGUGCGCUACCUCCAUUGAGGAUAGAUAAAUUCUCUAUCCUAUGGCAAUUUUUUAGAGGGAGGGAACUCGUUCAUUUUUAAAUCUAAUAAUUGUCAUCUGAUUUUCUUUAGGGGGGCAAAUACAACUCUAAAACUGGAAAUAUUUUUUUGUCACCGGACUGUUAAAAAUGGACAGAUUUUACCAUCUUGUACAGUAAGAUUCUGAAGCCAUCGAUGAAUGUCUAUUUGUCCUUUGUUCUCUUUCAUAGAGAUUUGGAUUUGGUACAUGUUCAAAUUUUUGGGUAGCUGUUUGCUUAUGCUAGCAUGCCUAAAUAAAUAGAGUGGUGAAUGAAAAAAUAGAGUAGUGGAUUAGCUUAUCGUUUGUCUGCUCCAGUUGCUUUUGAUCCAAAAACAUAAUAAUCCAAUUAUAUAUGGGAUUUAUGUGUGAGAUUAGUUGGCAUAGUCACCUACUGUUUUUUGUGGGAUCCAAAACCUUUGCAUUCUGAAAUGCAAUCUUUUUGUGUCUUCAGAAAGUUAAGAGUUUUUCUGUUUAGUGCAGUUUUUCUGCAUGUUGAAAUUGUCUAUUUUAGUGCAGUUUAGAAACUUCAGAAAGCUAUCCUUAACAAAUAUUUGAAAGAUUAUUUUAGUGCUGAUCUUAUGUUAAAUAAUUUUGUGAAGGUGAUCUUUUUGAAGCUGAGGUCUGCUAAAACAAACUGUCAUCUUGGACACAUCAACUAUGUCCUCACAUACUUCAGAAAGUUCAGGAAAUCAAGGUUUAUCUCUUGC